rnacentral:rRNA from 1 species
GACGAACGCUGGCGGCGUGCUUAACACAUGCAAGUCGAGCGGUAAGGCCCUUUCGGGGGUACACGAGCGGCGAGCGGGUGAGUAACACGUGGGUGACCUGCCCUCAGCUCUGGGAUAAGCCUGGGAAACCGGGUCUAAUACUGGAUAUGACUCCAUGACGCAUGUUGUGGGGUGGAAAGCCUUGUGCGGCUGAGGAUAGGCCCGCGGCCUAUCAGCUUGUUGGUGGGGUGAUGGCCUACCAAGGCGACGACGGGUAGCCGGCCUGAGAGGGCGACCGGCCACACUGGGACUGAGACACGGCCCAGACUCCUACGGGAGGCAGCAGUGGGGGAAUAUUGGACAAUGGGGGCAACCCUGAUCCAGCGACGCCGCGUGGGUGAAGAAGGCCUGCGGGUUGUAAAGCCCUUUCGGGUGGGGAAGAAAAGUCUCGACCUAUACGUCGGGACCUUGACGUAACCCACUAAAGAAGCACCGGCUAACUCUGUGCCAGCAGCCGCCGCAGUAAGACCUGGACUGCCAA